rnacentral:piRNA from 1 species
CCUCUCCAACUGUACCAGAGGUGCUGUAGG